rnacentral:rRNA from 1 species
GACGAACGCUGGCGGCGUGCCUAAUACAUGCAAGUAGAACGCACAGUUUAUACCGUAGCUUGCUACACCAUAAACUGUGAGUUGCGAACGGGUGAGUAACGCGUAGGUAACCUGCCUGGUAGCGGGGGAUAACUAUUGGAAACGAUAGCUAAUACCGCAUAAUAUUGAUUAUCGCAUGAUAAUUGAUUGAAAGAUGCUAUUGCAUCACUACCAGAUGGACCUGCGUUGUAUUAGCUAGUAGGUGAGGUAACGGCUCACCUAGGCGACGAUACAUAGCCGACCUGAGAGGGUGAUCGGCCACACUGGGACUGGGACACGGCCCAGACUCCUACGGGAGGCAGCAGUAGGGAAUCUUCGGCAAUGGACGAAAGUCUGACCGAGCAACGCCGCGUGAGUGAAGAAGGUUUUCGGAUCGUAAAGCUCUGUUGUAAGAGAAGAACGGGUGUGAGAGUGGAAAGUUCACACUGUGACGGUAUCUUACCAGAAAGGGACGGCUAACUACGUG